rnacentral:ncRNA from 1 species
GUUGUUGAAGGGGGGGGUCUCAAUAAGAGGAGGAAAAUAAACUUUCAAGGAUUCCCUUAUAACGGCGAGCGAAUCGGGAACAACCAGUCCUUAGAAUCGGGAGGCUUUGUCAUCCGAAUUGUAUUCUGGAGAAGCAUCCUCAGCGGGGGACUGGGCCCAAGUCCCCUGGAAGGGGGCGCUAGAUAGGGUGAGAGCCUCGUUGUGCCCGGAACCUGUCGCACCACGAGGCACUGUCUACGAGUUGGGUUAUUUGGGAAUGCAGCCCAAAUCGGGCGGUGAAUUCCAUCCAAGGCUAAAUAUGGGUGAGAGAUCGAUAACGAACAAGUACCGCGAGC